CUUACAGGAAAUUUUUACUACUGUAGAAUGAAAACAUACAAAAGCAAGCAACAUCAACGUUUAUUGGGCUUAUAUCAAAGAAUAUCUGAUAUAAAACAUUACUGGAACAGUAAUACGAAGCUCAGAUCUUUUUAUAAACAUUCUUUAUCUUCCAGAAAACAGUAAUAUAAUUUGAAUGGUAAUAGACAGGUUAUGAGCUAGGAUGCCAAAGGGCAAUCUGAGAAUUUGCCAAAUACCUACCAUCCAAUGGAGCUACAAUCUAGUACAGUACAGGAGGGUAAUGGG